UUGCAAGAUUGGUGCAGUAGUCGACUUCAGGAGAGAUGCAAAACUAUUAAGGACUUCCGUAUCUGGGCCUGUUUCUUUCCGGUGGAGUAGUGUGCCUACUUGCUCAUUUGGAAGUAGAAAGAUGGUGAUGCAUAAAAAGGGCGACGAAUGCAUAUAAUCACUGCUGGUUUAUCACGCCAGAGCUCUGAAGCCUUCAUUGGCGGACUCUUUGAUUUCACCAAACGCUCCGUUCCAAUCUUGUACUCUG